rnacentral:tRNA from 1 species
GAGGUUAUAGUUCAAUGGUAGAGUGUGUGCUUAGCACGCACAACGUCCUGCGUUGAAUCCCCAGUAUCUCCA